AUGCAAUACUGGUCGCUCGAAGGAAUCGAGGAGAUCCUUGGGAAGAAGGUGCGGGUUGAUCGCCUCGACAGCAGGACGCAGGAGCGCGAGCACACGAAGACAUUCGCCUGCUGGGUCUGGACCAGCGACGUCGCCCACAUCCCCACCAAGCACACGCUCGGCGUCCUGCCGCGCGGCGCGGGGCGCGUCGAGGAGAUGCAGGGCUACUCAUCGCCGGACCGGCGUGUCGCCCCUCCGCCCACCGCUGCAGACUACACCAUGCUCAUCCACGUCGACCGGGUGGAAGAUUGGUCGGCCCCUUCGCCGCGCUCGUCCCACUCUGCCUAG
rnacentral:rRNA from 1 species